rnacentral:rRNA from 1 species
UACGAGGACCCCGAGCGUUAUCCGGAAUUACUGGGCGUAAAGCGUGAGCAUCCGGUUGUGCUAGUCUCAUGUUAAAUUUCACUGCUCAACGGUGAAACCGCGUGGGAAACGGCACGACUAGAGCGGGUAAGAGGCAAGCGGAACGUGCAGUGUAGGGGUGAAAUCCAUUGAUAUUGCACGGAACACCAAAAGCGAAAGCAGCUUGCUAGUGCUCUGCUGACGGUCAAUCACUAAAGCGUGGGGAUCAAAAAGG